GCGCCGGUAGUGUAGCGGUUAUCAUCCUUGCCUUCCAUAUUAGGAAAUGACAGCAAGGGACUCGGGUUCGACUCCCGACCGGCGCA
rnacentral:tRNA from 1 species